AAACGUUAAAUAGAUAAUUUACUAUGUUUGAUUGCGUUUCAAAAAGAUUAAACGUUUU
rnacentral:tRNA from 1 species